rnacentral:rRNA from 1 species
UACGUAGGGUGCGAGCGUUGUCCGGAAUUAUUGGGCGUAAAGGGCUCGUAGGCGGUUUGUCACGUCGGGAGUGAAAACUCAGGGCUUAACCCUGAGCCUGCUUCCGAUACGGGCAGACUAGAGGUAUGCAGGGGAGAACGGAAUUCCUGGUGUAGCGGUGAAAUGCGCAGAUAUCAGGAGGAACACCGGUGGCGAAGGCGGUUCUCUGGGCAUGUCCUGACGCUGAGGAGCGAAAGCCAGGGGAGCAAACGGG